rnacentral:rRNA from 1 species
ACAGCAGUAGCCACGGUAAUACAGAGGGUGCAAGCGUUAAUCGGAAUUACUGGGCGUAAAGCGCGCGUAGGUGGUUUGUUAAGUUGGAUGUGAAAUCCCCGGGCUCAACCUGGGAACUGCAUCCAAAACUGGCAAGCUAGAGUAUGGUAGAGGGUGGUGGAAUUUCCUGUGUAGCGGUGAAAUGCGUAGAUAUAGGAAGGAACACCAGUGGCGAAGGCGACCACCUGGACUGAUACUGACACUGAGGUGCGAAAGCGUGGGGAGCAAACAGGAUUAGAUACCCCCGUAGUCCCUGUCUCUUAUAA